rnacentral:rRNA from 1 species
GACGAACGCUGGCGGCGUGCUUAACACAUGCCAGUCGAACGGAAAGGCCCUUCGUGGUACUCGAGUUGCGAACGCGUGCGUAACACGUGGAUGAUCUGCCCUGCCCUUUGGGAUAAGCCUGGCAUACUGGAUCUAAUACUGAAUCUGAUCAUCGGCUUCAUCUUCGUUGGUGGGAAGCUUUGGCGGUGUGGGAUGGGCCCGCGGCCUAUCAGCUUGUUGGUGGGGUAGUGGCCUACCAAGGCCACGACGGGUAGCCGGCCUGAGAGGGUGACCGGCCACAUUGGGACUGAGAUACGGCCCAGACUCCUACGGGAGGCAGCAGUGGGGAAUAUUGCACAAUGGGCGGAAGCCUGAUGCAGCGACGCCGCGUGAGGGAUGACGGCCUUCGGGUUGUAAACCGCUUUCAGCACAGACGAAGCGCAAGUGACGGUAAGGGGAGAAGAAGGACCGGCCAACUACGUG